rnacentral:rRNA from 1 species
UAACGCGAAGAACCUUACCUGGGUUUGACAUAUGCCGGAAAGCGCCAGAGAUGGUGCCCCUUUUUGUCGGUAUACAGGUGGUGCAUGGCUGUCGUCAGCUCGUGUCGUGAGAUGUUGGGUUAAGUCCCGCAACGAGCGCAACCCUCGUCCUAUGUUGCCAGCAAGCCUUCGGGUGUUGGGGACUCAUAGGAGACUGCCGGGGUCAACUCGGAGGAAGGUGGGGAUGACGUCAAGUCAUCAUGCCCCUUAUGUCCAGGGCUUCACGCAUGCUACAAUGGCCGGUACAAAGGGCUGCGAUGCUGUAAGGCGGAGCGAAUCCCAAAAAGCCGGUCUCAGUUCGGAUUGGGGUCUGCAACUCGACCCCAUGAAGUCGGAGUCGCUAGUAAUCGCAGAUCAGCAACGCUGCGGUGAAUACGUUCCCGGGUCUUGUACACACCGA